rnacentral:rRNA from 1 species
UAUUGCGCAAUGGGCGAAAGCUGACGCAGCGACGCCGCGUGGAGGAUGAAGGCCUUCGGGUCGUAAACUCCUGUCAAGAGGGAAGAACCGUAAUGCGGAAUAAUACGCCGCAAUGCCUGACGGUACCUCUAGAGGAAGCACCGGCUAACUCCGUGCCAACAGCCGCGGUAAUACGGAGGGUGCAAGCGUUAAUCGGAAUCACUGGGCGUAAAGCGCGCGUAGGCGGCCUUGUAAGUCAGGGGUGAAAUCCCACGGCUCAACCGUGGAACUGCCUUUGAAACUGCUAGGACUUGAAUCCUGGAGAGGGUGGCGGGAUUCCUGGUGUAGGAGUGAAAUCCGAGAUACUAGGAGGAACACCGGUGGCGAAGGCGGCCACCUGGACAGGUAUUGACGCUGAGGUGCGAAAGUGUGGGGAGCAAACAGGAUUAGAUACCCUGGUAGUCCACACCGUAAACGAUGGAUACUAGGUGUCGGGGACUUGAUCUUCGGUGCCGUACGUAACGCGUUAAGUAUCCCGCCUGGGGAGUACGGUCGCAAGGCUG